rnacentral:rRNA from 1 species
CCUACGGGAGGCAGCAGUGGGGAAUCUUGCACAAUGGAGGAAACUCUGAUGCAGCGAUGCCGCGUGAGUGAAGAAGGCCUUUGGGUUGUAAAGCUCUUUUGUAGGGGAAGAUAAUGACUGUACCCUAAGAAUAAGGUCCGGCUAACUUCGUGCCAGCAGCCGCGGUAAUACGAAGGGACCUAGCGUAGUUCGGAAUUACUGGGCGUAAAGCGCGCGUAGGCCGUUGAGUUAGUUAAUUGUGAAAUCCCAAAGCUUAACUUUGGAACUGCAAUUAAAACUGCUCGACUAGAGUUUGAUAGAGGAAGGCGGAAUACAUAGUGUAGAGGUGAAAUUCGUAGAUAUUAUGUAGAACACCAGUUGCGAAGGCGGCUUUCUGGAAUCAACACUGACGCUGAGGCGCGAAAGUAUGGGUAGCAAAGAGGAUUAGAUACCCUCGUAGUCCAAUACCAUAAACGAUGAUUGCUAGAUGUUAGGAAAUUUAUUUUCAGUAUCGCAGCUAACGCAUUAANANANCNCCGUGGAGGUACGACCGACGAAGUAAACGUAACAAANAGUAAGUAGUAGCGUUGUAGAGUUAGCCGACGACGACGACGAGGGAGGAGG